AACGCAGGCCUCCUUAUCGCCGUGUUUUGAAUUCAAUUCAGGACAAGGAGGAAAGUCCGGACACCAUAGUGCAACAUAGCGGAUAACAUCCGUCCGUUGAAAGACGAGGACCAGUGCAACAGAAAGCAAGUACAGUUCGGCUGUAGUGAAAUCAGGUAAACUCUAUGCGGUGCAACGCCAUGUAAACCAGUGUUUGAGGGUAGCACGCCCAAAUUGGAGGGUAGGCGGUUGGAACUUUGGAGCAAUCCAAAGUCUAGAUAAAUGAUAAGGCUCGACAGAAUCCGGCUUAUGGCCUGCUUUUUCU
rnacentral:RNase_P_RNA from 1 species